rnacentral:rRNA from 1 species
AUUGAACGCUGGCGGCAGGCCUAACACAUGCAAGUCGAACGGUAACAGGAAGCAGCUUGCUGCUUCGCUGACGAGUGGCGGACGGGUGAGUAAUGUCUGGGAAACUGCCUGAUGGAGGGGGAUAACUACUGGAAACGGUAGCUAAUACCGCAUAAUGUCGCAAGACCAAAGAGGGGGACCUUCGGGCCUCUUGCCAUCGGAUGUGCCCAGAUGGGAUUAGCUUGUUGGUGGGGUAACGGCUCACCAAGGCGACGAUCCCUAGCUGGUCUGAGAGGAUGACCAGCCACACUGGAACUGAGACACGGUCCAGACUCCUACGGGAGGCAGCAGUGGGGAAUAUUGCACAAUGGGCGCAAGCCUGAUGCAGCCAUGCCGCGUGUAUGAAGAAGGCCUUCGGGUUGUAAAGUACUUUCAGCGGGGAGGAAGGGAGUAAAGUUAAUACCUUUGCUCAUUGACGUUACCCGCAGAAGAAGCACCGGCUAACUCCGUGCCAGCCGCCGCGGUAAAAC